UACGUAGGUGACAAGCGUUGUCCGGAUUUACUGGGCGUAAAGAGCGCGCAGGCGGUCGAUCAAGUCGAGUGUGAAAGCCCCCGGCUCAACUGGGGAGGGUCAUUCGAUACUGAUCGACUCGAAGGCAGGAGAGGGUAGUGGAAUUCCCGGUGUAGUGGUGAAAUGCGUAGAUAUCGGGAGGAACACCGGUGGCGAAGGCGGCGACCUGGGUCGAUACUGACGCUGAGGUGCGAAAGCGUGGGGAGCAAACAGG
rnacentral:rRNA from 2 species